rnacentral:rRNA from 1 species
GACGAACGCUGGCGGCGUGCUUAACACAUGCAAGUCGAACGGAAAGGCCCUGCUUUUGUGGGGUGCUCGAGUGGCGAACGGGUGAGUAACACGUGAGUAACCUGCCCUUGACUUUGGGAUAACUUCAGGAAACUGGGGCUAAUACCGGAUAGGAGCUCCUGCUGCAUGGUGGGGGUUGGAAAGUUUCGGCGGUUGGGGAUGGACUCGCGGCUUAUCAGCUUGUUGGUGGGGUAGUGGCUUACCAAGGCUUUGACGGGUAGCCGGCCUGAGAGGGUGACCGGCCACAUUGGGACUGAGAUACGGCCCAGACUCCUACGGGAAGCAGCAGUGGGGAAUAUUGCACAAUGGGCGGAAGCCUGAUGCAGCAACGCCGCGUGCGGGAUGACGGCCUUCGGGUUGUAAACCGCUUUCGCCUGUGACGAAGCGUGAGUGACGGUAAUGGGUAAAGAAGCACCGGCUAACUACAUG